UACGUAGGGCGCAAGCGUUGUCCGGAAUUAUUGGGCGUAAAGAGCUCGUAGGCGGCCAGUUGCGUCUGCUGUGAAAUCCCGGGCUCAACCCCGGGCGUGCAGUGGAUACGGGCUGGCUAGAGGCAGGCAGGGGAGAACGGAAUUCCCGGUGUAGCGGUGAAUGCGCAGAUAUCGGGAGGAACACCGGUGGCGAAGGCGGUUCUC
rnacentral:rRNA from 1 species